CAGUCGAACGAAGCAUGCAGGAAGAAGCCCUUCGGGGCGGGCGCCUGGAUGACUGAGUGGCGGACGGGUGAGUAACGCGUGGGCAACCUGCCCCAUACAGGGGGAUAACAGCCGGAAACGGCUGCUAAUACCGCAUAAACCAGGGAGGCGCAUGCCUUUCUGGGGAAAGUUCCGGCGGUAUGGGAGGGGCCCGCGUCUGAUUGGCUUGUUGGCGGGGCAGCGGCCCACCAAGGCGACGAUCAGUAGCCGGCCUGAGAGGGCGGACGGCCACAUUGGGACUGAGACACGGCCCAAACUCCUACGGGAGGCAGCAGUGGGGGAUAUUGCACAAUGGGGGAAACCCUGAUGCAGCGACGCCGCGUGGGCGAAGAAGUAUUUCGGUAUGUAAAGCCCUAUCAGCAGGGAAGAAGAAAUGACGGUACCUGAGUAAGAAGCACCGGCUAAAUACGUGCCAGCAGCCGCGGUAAUACGUAUGGUGCAAGCGUUAUCCGGAUUUACUGGGUGUAAAGGGAGCGCAGGCGGCACGGCAAGCCUGAUGUGAAAGCCCGCGGCCCAACCGCGGGACCGCAUUGGGAACUACCGGGCUGGAGUGCCGGAGAGGUAGGCGGAAUUCCUAGUGUAGCGGUGAAAUGCGUAGAUAUUAGGAGGAACACCUGUGGCGAAGGCGGCCUACUGGACGGUGACUGACGCUGAGGCUCGAAAGCGUGGGGAGCAAACAGGAUUAGAUACCCUGGUAGUCCACGCC
rnacentral:rRNA from 1 species